rnacentral:rRNA from 1 species
GACGAACGCUGGCGGCGUGCUUAACACAUGCAAGUCGAACGAAGUGGCGAACGGGUGAGUAACGCGUAAUCAACCUGCCCUUCAGUGGGGGACAACAGUUGGAAACGACUGCUAAUACCGCAUACUGAAGGAGGGGAUUGCGUCUGAUUGGCUAGUUGGAGGGGUAACGGCCCACCAAGGCGAUGAUCAGUAGCCGGGCUGGGGAGAGGAACGGACAAAAGGGGACUGAGACACGGGCCAGACUGCUACGGGAGGCAAGAGUGGGGAAUCUUCCGCAAUGGGCGAAAGUCUGAAGGAGCAACGCCGCGUGAGUGGUGACGGCCUUCGGGUUGUAAAGCUCUGUUAAUCGGGGCGCGGUACCGGAAUAGAAAGCCACGGCUAACUACGUGCCAGCAGCCGCGGUAAUUC